GGACAGAUAGCUCAGUGGUAGAGCGAAGGAUUGCAGUCCCACUGCGAAUAUCCUUAGGUCGCGUGUUCGAUCCACGCUCGGUCCU
rnacentral:tRNA from 1 species